rnacentral:lncRNA from 1 species
UUUUUUUAAGUCUUUAGUUUCAGUCAUGUCCAGGUGUCCAAAAUCUAUUGGUCCUUUAAUCCAAAACCCUAGUUUUUAGCAGUAUAAAUAGCUGCAAUUACUACUACAGUAAGGGAGAGAGAAAAAGAGUCAGAAAAACGCGUCAGAGUCAGAAAACGGGUCAGAUUGGUCCCUAUCACAUACAAACACCUUUUCCCUUUCUCUCUCAUCUAGUUACAGAUCAAAACACCACAAAAUGAUGAACAUCACAUAAACGUCAUGAACAUUCAAGUAUAAUUUCCAGAAUUAUCAACCACCACUCAAUUUUCUUUCUCGAAUUCACUCACAAACAUUACAAUACAGAUCCAAAUUCUCGUUUUCAUUGUAUACCAACACAUAAUCAAGUUCCACUAACACAACAACAACAAGAUUCAACACAGAAUUCCAGAUCGGAACCUUUAAGCACCAAACGAAAUCAAAGAGGUGAAGAAGAAGAAACGGAACCGUGACGGUGCAAGGAACGGAGCCGGAUUCACGAGCCAAGCAGCAAGGAGUUUUCCGUCAACAAGUUAUUUUUCUCCGAUCUAAACACUGAGGUAACGCUUUCUUACUUUCUCUUUUCCUCGAUCUCUUCCGUUUUGUAUUCGUAUUUGGUGAUGAAGUAAUGUUUAUAAAGAGUUUUUGUUGAUGAAGUUUUUUCUAGAUCUAGGGUUUAUGUGAACUGUUUUCAAAAAUUUGAGUGUAGAUUCGAAUAAAGAAGAAGGAGAAGAACUAGAUCCACAAAAAAAAUUUUAAAAAAGUAUAGUUUGAGUUUUCCGACGCGGUGGCUGGCUUCGUCGCCGGAAACCGGCCGGCCGCCGCGUCGGAGUUCUUUCCUCCUUCUUCCCCGGUCUGUUUCGAAAGAAAGAGAAGAGAGCUUCUCUCUCUAAGUGUGACUUAGAGAGAGAAGGAUUUUGUUUUGUGUGUGUUUUUUUGUUAAAACCGCUUUAUAUAACCUCAUCAUUUUAUUUUGUGUGGGAAUACUGCGUGCCUGCUGUUGAACCAGUAUAUCCUUCCCUUUUUCUGUUUCUUUUUAAAUCGUUGGAUCUUAGAUCCUAUGGCUGUGAUGAGAUCUUGAGAUUCAAAUCUGGACCUCUGGAUUCAUCCAACGGUCCACAUUAAAUCCUGCUGAGCCAAUUUUUUUUUAUUUCUUAUUUUUAAUUGUCUUUAUUUUUAAAUACUGUCUUUACACUUUUUUGACAUUUUUGUGUUUAGAAAAAUUCCAAAAUAUUGUUCUCAUCAUUUUAAUUUUCUCUAAUUUUAAAAAUCCAUCUUAUUUGUUUUCUUUUAAAUUUUUUUUGUUUAUUUCUUAUAUGAUGAUCUUAAUUGUUGCUUGUCUUAAUUCCUUGCUUUUUAUUUCUUAUGUCUCAUUUACCAUGAUUUUUGUUAUGCUUACUAACGAUUUAAUUUUUUGUCUUGAAUCAUAGCAUGCACAUUUAAUUUUCUCAUCAUUUUAUUUUAACAUUGACUUAGUAUGUAUAAAUAGGGAAUUGAUGUAAUUUUAUUUCUUGCAUUGGCAUAAAGGCCUUAGGGUUAUAUUUAGGAAUUGAUGUAAUAAUGUAGGUAACACAAGCACCGACACUACCACAAUUUAUUUACCGCUUUCCGCCCGUUUUUUUUACGACGUUACGUUAUUUUAGAAAAAUCUUUUUCUCAAAAAAAAAUCAAAUAUGCAAAACUUCAAAAUCAUUUUCUUAAUAACAUUUUUCCUUUAUUUUCUUAAUCAAACUCUCAAUCAAUUUUAAUUCAACUUCAAUCAUUUUCAAAAUUUAAAAUCAAUCAACCUCACUCAUUUCUUUUAUCUCAUGCCUUGAGGCCUCUUUCUCUUCUUAAAACCAUUUUCAAAAAUCUUAAAAUCAACCUAACCCACCAAAGAAAUUUUUUAGUGGAACUACGUCGGUUUUGAUCCCUUUCCCAAAAGGGUACGUAGGCAGAGGACUUGUCCUUCCAAAUCAAAUAAAAAUAACCAAAAACAUACUCCUUCUCCCUCCAUUCUUUCACUUAGAUUUUUAGGUAAUAAUUUUUCAAGUAAGCCAAAUGAAUUUAGCACAAGAUAAUCUAGGUAAGCGGUUCCUUCGGAGUACCGAAGUCGUUUAGGGUGCUUAACACCUUCCCUAUUCGAAACCAACCCCCGAAUCCAAAGUCUCGAUAAGGGUUUUUACUCAUUUUUUCCCUUCCCACGAAUAAAAAUUGAGAGUUCAAAGAUUGACGAUUCAAAUCAAUCAAUGGUUUGAUAUCCGAAAAUCGGGGAGCACAGAAUGGCGACUUCACUGGGGACUUAGAUUCUAUGCGGGUUAAACCCACCUUACUUUCUUUAUUUUGUGCUUUAUUAUUUGUUUACGCUUUGUAAAUAUUUUCUUACAUGUUUACGUGAGUGGUGAGAUAAGCUCUACACCCGAGCUUGAGGGAAACUUAAGAUAGGACGGUGGUAUAAUCAUAGUUCCAUGCCAAGAGUACUCUUCGGUAUUGGCACAUGUGAUAACCCCACUCAACGGAGGGAUCUUGGAAGUAUAUGUUGUCAACGUGAGUACUCAUGUUUGGCAUGCUAUUUUCAAGUGACCUUUGAAGUUGAGGACCUUUAGUCACCUUUAACCCAUCUUGGCCUUUUAGGACGUAGUGCGGUGGCUAAUCGAGAGUACUCUUGAAUUAGUUGAUACGCGAUACUACACCCAAACGAGACUUUCCGACGAAUAUAAUUGGAAUGGGAGUACUCCCGUCACCCGAUAAAUAUUCGGAAGUGGUUAAAGACUUUGGGAACUUGGUAGAACCCUUGUUACAAGUGCAAUUUAAAACCUUAGUCCUUACCAAAUGGCGUUGUUACCCUUUGACUCCAACAUCCUAUGUGCUUUAGUAUUAUCAUGCAUACAUGCAUCCAUUCAUAAAUAUUUUUUCCAUUCAUCAAAAUUUUUUUGAAGGACUUAUAAAAGCUUUGUUGUAAACAUUGUAGAUAUGAGGAGCCUUAGGCAGUAUAGUUUCAGGAAGCCAGAUCUCUUGAGUUUGAGGAAGCUAGGGAAGAAAGUGGUUUGUACGGACGAUUUCUACAAGCAACAUGGAAAUUUGAUGGGUGUUGUUAAGACAGAUAUUGACGAAGGGCUUCUCAACGCUUUUGUUCAGUUCUAUGACCCGGGCUACCAUUGCUUUACUUUUCAAGAUUACCAGAUCCUUCCCACCUUGGAGGAGUACUCUUGUUGGAUUAAUCUACCAGUGUUGGACAAAGUACCUUUCAGUGGCCUCGAGGAAACUCCCAAGCACUCAACCAUUGCCGCAGCCCUCCAUCUUGAAACGGACGAAGUGAAAGCACAUCUCAUCACUAGGGGGAAAUUUUUGGGUUUCUCCACCGAUUUCCUUUACGAAAGGACCACAUUCUUUGACAAAAUGGGGGUUGCCUAUGCUUUUAACUCCAUCCUUGCCUUGCUUAUUUAUGGCCUCGUACUCUUCCCUAGCCUCGACAACUUUGUGGACAUCAAGGCUAUCCAAAUUUUCUUGUCAAGGAACCCUGUCCCUACCUUAUUAGGUGAUACCUAUCUCUCCAUCCAUAGACGCACCCAAGCUGGUCGUGGAACUAUCCUUUGUUGUGCACAAUUGCUAUAUCGGUGGAUCACCUCUCACUUACCCCGAACUCCUCGCUUCACCACCAAUCCAGAAAACCUUCUUUGGUCAAAAAGACUCAUGUCCCUUACUCCAGCCGAGGUAGUGUGGUACGAUCGGGUUUAUGACAAAGGAACCAUUAUUGACAGUUGUGGGAAAUUCUCCAAUGUACCACUUCUUGGGUUGGAAGGAGGAAUUAGCUACAAUCCUACUCUUGCCCGACGCCAAUUCGGAUACCCCAUGGAAGGGAAGCCUCUCAGCAUCUAUCUAGAGAAUGUGUAUUACCUCAACAUAGAUGACAGUAAAGGAAUGAAGGAGCAAGUUGUGCAAGCUUGGCACACCAUUCGUAGAAGAGACAAAGGCCAGUUAGGGAAAAAGACAGGUGCCGUUCAUGAAUCAUACACUCAGUGGGUGAUAGAUAGAGCUGUCCAAAUUGGGAUGCCUUACAAGAUAUCAAGAUUUGUAUAUGCAAUCACUCCGGCACCACCCCUACCUAUGACCUUUGACACCGAGAAGGAAUACCAAGAGUGUUUAGCUGAGGCGGAACGUGAAGUACAUAGGUGGAAAAGAGAGCAUCAGAAAAAGGAUCAGGAGUAUGAGGCUGUAAUGGUCCUACUAGAGCAAGAAGCCUAUGAUAGCCACAAGAAAGAUGUGAUAAUCGCCCAGCUGAAAAAAAGUAUCAAGGAGAAAGAUGUUGCACUUGAUCAAAUUCCCGGGCGAAAGAAGAAACGCAUGGAUCUCUUUGAUGGGCCGCAGUCCGAUUUUGAGGAUUAGUUCGCUUCAGAUGCUUGAGAGUCUUUUAGUUUGUUUUUGAUGUUUUUUAGUUUUGGAGUCUAUCCCUUGGCUCACUUUGUUGAAAGGGAAUUAUCUUGUUUUAUUUUGAAAGUUUAUCCCUUGGCUUUGUUGUUAGAAAGGGAAUUAUCUUGUAAUGACUAUGUCUGUUUUAAUAUAUGUUUAUAAAAUUGCUUCUAUAGGUCCUUCGAUAAAAAGAUAUAUAAAAAUUGCAUAUUUUGGCAUAUAGCAUAUCAUGCAUCAUAUCGCAUUCAUACAAAACCAAGUCUCAUACUCUCCUCAUUUCUGCCUCAGAAAAGUAAGGUGGCCCGACGUAUUUAGUACAAACCCACUCGCAUUCACAACACUCGAUCCCAUACCAAGAAGAGGAUGUUAGCGGCAGAACAGGAAAACGCUCAGCUCAGAGAAGAGCUUGGUAACCUCAAGGGCGAGAUGGAAAGGAUGGCAAUUAUGAUGGAAACUAUGAUGGCUGAGAGAGAGCGAGCGGCAAUCUCAGAGUCAACUCCUGUUGUGGUCGUCACAACCGCACCCGAGGGUUCCCCGCAGCCAACUCCUACUGCUGCUGCAACUGUCGGCCUUACCCAGCCUCUGAUGACCGAUUUUUCUUCUGGUAAUAUGGCAAAUAUGGGCAACUCAGGCUUUCGUCCUUUUGGCCCCCAGGGUUUUUUCUCCACUCCUCAGUAUUCCAUGCCUCCAGGCUACCCAUGGGGCAUGCCGCUUGCAGUUAAUGGGGGUUUUCGUCCAAGCGCUACUGAAAUGCCAUUCGCUCACGGUCAACAGGCUUCGCCACUUUUCCAGAUGAGUCAGUUAAUUCCUCAGGCUACUAUGACUCAAGCAGGACCUACGGUGCAUGUUGAGCCACAGCACGAAGAGCAGAUUUACCAUUCCGACAGUGUGAUGGGGGAUGACAGAGCAGUCAACUAGGAAGAGAGAUUUGGUGCUUUAGAGAAAGAAAUGAGUAACAUGCGUAGAAAAGAAGCAGUCGUCCAGAAUAUAUACGACUUUUGCUUGGUACCAGAUGUGGAUAUACCUCCAAAAUUCAAGAUGCCUGUGUUUGAAAAAUAUCAAGGGGAUACAUGUCCACAAAACCAUCUGACUAUGUAUAUCAUGAAGAUGAUAGCCUACAAGAACAAUGUGCCUUUGCUCAUUCAUUGCUUCCAGGACAGUUUGACCGGUCCUGCACAUACCUGGUUUAUGGGAUUGAAGGGCAUCACUACAUUUGAACAGUUGGCUGACGCUUUCAUGCAGCAAUACAAGUACAACACAUAUCUGGCGCCUAGUCGCAAAGAGUUGCAGUCCUUGACCCAAAAAGACAAAGAGUCAUUCAAAGAGUAUGCCCAGCGCUUCAUCCAGACGGCCGCCCAGAUUCGUCCGCCCCUGGAUGAGAGGGAAUUAUCAGAAAUAUUUUACGAAACCUUGAGCCCUUGCUAUUCAGAAAAAAUGAUUGUUUGUGCAUCACAGAAGUUCACUGACCUAGUGGAGACAGGGAUACGUAUUGAGGAAUGGGCUCGUAAGGGAGCUGGUGCUUCGGGAAGUUCUUCAGGUAGUUCUGCUCGAAGUUCGUCUAAUGGUAACAAGAAGUUUGGGAAUGGUUACUCAAAGAGGAAUACUCAAGAAGUCGGCAUGGUGGCCCAUGGCGGAUCUCAACUUGUGCACCCUAAUCAUCCUUAUGUUGCCAACAUUACCCCAUAAAUGACCGCUCCCCAGAACCCAAACUACCAACCACCAAGACCUCAAGGACCUUCACCAUACUAUCCACCACUAUAUCAACAACCAUACAACCCACAACAAUUUCCUCAACAACCAUAUUACCCCCAACAGCCAUACCAGCAAAGACCACACUAUCCACCACAAAAACAACCCCGUCCUCAGGCUCCCUACAAUCAAAGACAACAGUUUGAUCCCAUACCUAUGACUUACGGAGCAUUACUACCUUCGUUACUUGCACAAAACCUGGUUUAAACAGCACCGCCUCCUUUCAUUCCAGACCCUCUCCCAUGCUGGUACCGUCCUGACCUUCAUUGUGUUUAUCAUCAAGGGGCACCAGGUCAUGAUGUGGAACGUUGUUAUGCCCUCAAGAAAGAGGUCCAAAAACUGAUCAAUAGUAAAGAGUUAAUCUUUACCGACCCUGAUCCUGUAGUCCAGAACAAUCCUCUGCCUCCCCAUGGGCCUGCUGUUAACAUGAUCCAAGACUGUCAGGAAGAGGUUUGCAUUCCCUACGCAUGUUGUCGCGCCAUUUUUCGGACGUCAAAGGCCAUUUGAUUGACUUUUGACUCACUUUUUAUCUCACGACUGAACAAAAUUUUUUUUUAAGGGGAAAACGUUCCAAACAACCCAUUUUGAAGAGAUUUAGGGUUCGGGGGUGAAGCCAGACGCGUGUGGGCUUGGAUUGGACCGGUUCAGACCGGUUCCAAGGUUGAACCGGUUCAGUCUAGCAUUAUAAAUAGGCAUCUCCGGUUUUUUUUUAUCAUUUUUAUUUUUCCUUCUCUCUCUUCUCUUAUUUCUAGAGAGAGAGGCUCUGCCUUCUCUCUAGAAUCCUUCAUCUUCUCCGAUGAGAAGAGAGGUGGCCGGAGGAGGUUCCGGCGCGGUGGCCGGUGAGUUUUCACGGCGGCGCCACCGCGCCGGAGUCAAAAACUCCUCUUUUUUUGAUNAGUCAGAAAACGGGUCAGAUUGGUCCCUAUCACAUACAAACACCUUUUCCCUUUCUCUCUCAUCUAGUUACAGAUCAAAACACCACAAAAUGAUGAACAUCACAUAAACGUCAUGAACAUUCAAGUAUAAUUUCCAGAAUUAUCAACCACCACUCAAUUUUCUUUCUCGAAUUCACUCACAAACAUUACAAUACAAAUCCAAAUUCUCGUUUUCAUUGUAUACCAACACAUAAUCAAGUUCCACUAACACAACAACAACAAAAUUCAACACAGAAUUCCAGAUCGGAACCUUUAAGCACCAAACGAAAUCAAAGAGGUGAAGAAGAAGAAACGGAACCGUGACGGUGC